rnacentral:rRNA from 1 species
AGUGAACGCUGGCGGUAGGCCUAACACAUGCAAGUCGAACGGCAGCACAGUAAGAGCUUGCUCUUACGGGUGGCGAGUGGCGGACGGGUGAGGAAUACAUCGGAAUCUACUUUUUCGGGGGGGAUAACGUAGGGAAACUUACGCUAAUACCGCAUACGACCUACGGGUGAAAGCAGGGGAUCUUCGGACCUUGCGCGAUUGAACGAGCCGAUGUCGGAUUUGCUAGUUGGCGGGGUAAAGGCCCAGCAAGGCGACGAUCCGUGGCUGGUGUGGGAGGAUGAUAGGCCACACUGGAACUGAGCCACGGUCCAGACUCCUACGGGAGGCAGCAGUGGGGAAUAUUGGACAAUGGGGGCAAGCAUGAUACAGUCAGACCGAGUGGGUGGAGAAGGCCUUCGGGUUGUAAAGACCUUUUGUUGGGAAAGAACCGCAGCAGGUUAAUACCCCGCUGUUCUGACGGUACCCAAAGAAUAAGCACCGGCUAACUUCGUG